rnacentral:lncRNA from 1 species
CCUCAUGUGGCCCAUCUAAUUAAAAGGAGUUUAAUUCACACUCCAGGCUGUUAUUUAAAGACCAGAGGAUUGAGAAGACAGUUUCCCUGUCCUGAUGGAGGUCCGACCAAACGAACAUGCAAUAAUCCGCCCCAGUCGUCCAGGCUCAGCGGGCCCCAGAGCUGCAGCCCUCGGUCCCGGGACUCCAUGGCCUUUCAUCUCAAUGACCUGAGCCCUAGGACCAUGCCUCAGGACUACCUGGUAUGAUGACUCCUUGCUGUCCCCAGUCCACCUGGCCGUGCUGCUGCUCCAGUUUCAACUGUUCUGCCUGCGGCUAUGGAACCCUGAC